AGCAGAAUGAUAUGGUCUGGAUCUGUAUCUCCACCAAAUCUUAUGUUGAAUUUUAGUCCCUAAUUUUGGAGGUGGGGCCUGGUGGGAGGUGAUUGGAUCAUGAGGGCAGAUUUCUCGUGACUGGUUUACACCAUCUCCCCGAUACUGUACUUGUGAUCAUGGGAGAACAUAAGAAUUCCUUUUGUUUUUUGCCUACUCUUCUCCUACCACCUCUUUUCUACUACAAUGUUAUGAUAAGAGCAGCUGCCUUGGCAGUUUCUAAUUGCAGAUGUGGAAUCUAUUUCAAAUGAGUAAACUCUCCAAAGAAAAGUGUACUUGUUUUUGGCCACAGGAAUCUUAAGUGACUUAAUUAACAGCUCCCUCUUUGCCUUCUAACACAAUUGGAAGCUGUGUAAGACCUCACCAGAAGCAGACACCAGCACGAUGCUUCCUGUACACCCUGCAGAACUGUAAGCCAAUUAAACCUCUUUUCUUUAUGAAUUACA
rnacentral:lncRNA from 1 species